UUACGUCCGUAACGAGCGCAACCCCUGCUGCCUGUUGCCACCACGAGAGGUGGGGACUCAGGCGGGACCGCCGGUGACAAACCGGAGGAAGGUGGGGACGACGUCAAGUCAUCAUGGCCCUUAUGUCCUGGGCUACACACGUGCUACAAUGGCCGGUACAGAGCGCAGCGAGGCCGCGAGGCGGAGCGAAUCGCUUAAAGCCGGUCCCAGUACGGAUUGGAGUCUGCAACCCGACUCCAUGAAGUUGGAAUCGCUAGUAAUCGCGCAUCAGCAUGGCGCGGUGAAUACGUUCCCGGGCCUU
rnacentral:rRNA from 1 species